CACAGUAAAGGUGUCCUCUAAGCUGAUUGGUGUCUCCUAGGUGAUGUCCGUCCCACCCUGACGGUGCUGCCCCCCUCCAGUGAGGAGCUGCAGCAGGGGAAGGCCACGCUCAUGUGCCUGGCCAACAAGGGCUUCCCCUCAGACUGGAGUCUGGCCUGGAAGGUGGACGGCAGCAGCAGCAGCAGCAGCUGGGAGGAGAGCAGGAGCCCCGGGGUGCUGGAGAAGGACGGCCGCUACAGCUGGAGCAGCACCCUGAGGCUCCCUGCAGACCAGUGGAGGAAGGUGGGCUCUGUGACCUGUGAGGCCACCCAGGGCUCCCAGGCUCUGGUCUCAGAGACACUGAGGAGAGACCAGUGUUCCCAGUCCUGACCUGACUCACUGGGACUCUGCUACUGGUUUUACUCUGCUACUGCUCUCAGUCUGAAUUCAUCAAAGAUCUAUCCCUCUCUCUCUCUUUCCUUCCCUAACUCACUCUCUAAUUACAUGUUUCAUUGAUAAAUUUGUUUUCUUGUUGUCAUUUCAAUUGUUUCAAUAAAAUAAAGACCAGUUCAUCAAA